UUCGAAAAUUAUAAAAUUUUAAAAUUAAAUGGCGAUUGUCGGUAUGGUCUCUUUUUCAACAUAUACACCAAACAUUCUAUAUAAAGUGACUAGACCGAACACUCGUGCUAUAAUUUUAAAAUGUUCAACAAUUUCAAUU
rnacentral:pre_miRNA from 15 species